rnacentral:RNase_P_RNA from 1 species
AAGCAAACUGGUUCUAUCGCUGUCCUUUAGUCAUAAAGGAAAGAGGAAAGUCCGGGCAACAUAGAGCAACACGCUUCCUAACGGGAAGGCUAUUUCGGUAGACAGCAAGUGCCACAGAAAGGAUACCGCCUUGAAAAAGGUAAGGGUGAAAGCGUGAGGUAAGAGCUCACGGUAUUGUAUGGCGACAUGCAUUACGGUAAACCUCGUGUGUUGAAAGACCAAAUAGGUUACGAGAUCAGAAGGCUGCUCGUUUUCUACCUUCGGGUACUCGUAAUGGGUAGGUUGAUGGAGUUUGUGUGCAAACGCAAACCUAGAUAAAUGAUAGAAACUUCAACAGAAGUACAGAACCCGGCUUAUAAAGUUUGCUUCUUC